rnacentral:RNase_P_RNA from 2 species
CAAGCUGGCUGGGUGAUCGCGGCUUCGGGCUUCCGAAGCUGAGGAAAGUCCGCACUCCACAGAGCAAGGUGCCGGCUAACGGCCGGGCGGGGUAACUCGACGGCAAGUGCAACAGAGAGGUGUAUUGCCGGAAGGGGCGACUCUUUCGGCGAGGGUGAAACGGUGGUGUAAGAGACCACCGGCGGUGGCAGCGAUGUCGCCGGCCAGGCAAACCCCACCAGGAGCAAGGCCAAGCAGGGCGAAAGGUGGUCUUCGGGCCAUCUACGGGGUUGCUCGUCCCGUCCGACGUCCGGGUAGGCUGCAUGAGGUGGCCGGCAACGGCCGCCCCAGAUAGAUGAUCGCCGGAGCCGCGUGGGAAACCGCGUGGCGUCCACAGAAUGCGGCUUAUAGGCCGGCUUGCCAA